GUUUCCCUGUGUAAGGUGGGAUAAGAAGUUAAUUACCUUCAGAGUAACUGACUAAAGUCCAAAAAUAUAUAUUGUAUUUAUCAAUGUCUGAAUUUUGCAGUGAAUGCUCUGAAUUACCCAGAAUAUGGUCUGGACCUAUAGGCGUGCGCACGGGGUGUGCCGGGUGUGCCUGAGCACACCCUAAUCCCCGCGGCACGCCUAUGCAUAUUGAGACCGGCAGGGGAGAUCUCAGGAUCUCCCCUGUCGGCUCAUGCAGAG